UAACAUACAGUGGAGGACCGAACCCGUUGACGUUGAAAAGUCUUGGGAUGACCUGUGGGUAGGGGUGAAAGGCCAAUCAAACUCGGAAAUAGCUCGUACUCCCCGAAAUGCAUUUAGGUGCAGCGUAUUAUUAGUUUUAUAGAGGUAGAGCUACUGAUUGGAUGCGGGGGCUUCACCGCCUACCAAUUCCUGACAAACUCCGAAUGCUAUAAAAUGAUGUAAUGCAGUGAGGGCAUGGGUGCUAAGGUCCAUGUCCGAGAGGGAAAGAACCCAGACCAUCAGCUAAGGUCCCAAAAUGUAUGUUAAGUUGAAUAAACGAGGUUGGAUUGCAUAGACAGCUAGGAUGUUGGCUUGGAAGCAGCCAUUCAUUUAAAGAGUGCGUAACAGCUCACUAGUCGAGCGAUCCGGCAUGGAUAAUAAUCGGGCAUAAACAUACUACCGAAGCUAUGGACUUGUAAAAGUGGUAGGGGAGCAUUGUAGUGUCGUCGAAGGUGAAGCGUGAGCUUUGCUGGAGAAGCUACAAAAGAAAAUGUAGGCAUAAGUAACGAUAAUGCGGGCGAGAAACCCGCACACCGAAAGACUAAGGUUUCCUCAGCUAUGCUAAUCAGCUGAGGGUUAGUCGGGACCUAACGCGAACCCGAAAGGGGUAGUGGAUGGACAACAGGUUAAUAUUCCUGUACCUGCUCACGCUAAAAGUGACGGAGGCGAAAAGUUAGUGCGCACAGACGGAAUUGUGCGUUGAAGCCAGUGGUAACACGGCGAUAGUACACUAAGGCUUCGGCUGCGGUGAUAAUCUAGCAAAUCGACUUCCAAGAAAAGCAAGUGAAGCAGCCCGUACCCUAAACCGACACAGGUAGUUGGGAUGAGAAUUCUAAGGUGCUCGAGAGAUUCAUGGCUAAGGAACUAGGCAAAAUCGACCCGUAACUUCGGGAGAAGGGUCGCCCAUCUUCGGAUGGGCCGCAGUGAAGAGGUCCAGGCGACUGUUUAUCAAAAACACAGGGCUCUGCUAAAUCGAAAGAUGAUGUAUAGGGCCUGACACCUGCCCGGUGCUGGAAGGUUAAGUGGAGGGGUUAGCUUCGGCGAAGCUCUGAAAUGAAGCCCCAGUAAACGGCGGCCGUAACUAUAACGGUCCUAAGGUAGCGAAAUUCCUUGUCGGGUAAGUUCCGACCUGCACGAAUGGUGCAACGAUCUGGACACUGUCUCAGCCAUGAGCUCGGUGAAAUUGUAGUAUCGGUGAAGAUGCCGAUUACCCGCUGUGGGACGAAAAGACCCCGUGCACCUUUACUAUAGCUUAGUAUUGGUUUUGGAUAAGUAAUGUGUAGGAUAGGUGGGAGACUUUGAAGUGGCGUCGCUAGGCGUUGUGGAGUCAUUGUUGAAAUACCACCCUUUGCUUAUCUAGAGUCUAACUUUCCUUGAAAGGACAGUGCUUGGUGGGUAGUUUGACUGGGGUGGUCGCCUCCAAAAGAGUAACGGAGGCUUCUAAAGGUGCCCUCAGCACGCUUGGUAACCGUGCGUAGAGUGCAAUGGCAUAAGGGCGCUUGACUGAGAGACAUACAGGUCGAUCAGGUACGAAAGUAGAGCAUAGUGAUCCGGUGGUUCCGUAUGGAAGGGCCAUCGCUCAAAGGAUAAAAGGUACGCCGGGGAUAACAGGCUGAUCUCCCCCAAGAGCUCACAUCGACGGGGGGGUUUGGCACCUCGAUGUCGGCUCGUCACAUCCUGGGGCUGGAGAAGGUCCCAAGGGUUGGGCUGUUCGCCCAUUAAAGUGGCACGCGAGCUGGGUUCAGAACGUCGUGAGACAGU
rnacentral:rRNA from 1 species